rnacentral:rRNA from 1 species
GACGAACGCUGGCGGCGUGCUUAACACAUGCAAGUCGAACGGAAAGGCCCUGCUGUUGUGGGGUGCUCGAGUGGCGAACGGGUGAGGAACACGUGAGGAACCUGCCCGUGACUUUGGGAUAACGUCAGGAAACUGGGGCUAAUACCGGAUAGGAGCUCCUGCUGCAUGGUGGGGGUUGGAAAGGUUCGGCGGGUGGGGAUGGAAUCGCGGCUUAUCAGCUUGUUGGUGGGGUAGGGGCUUACCAAGGCUUUGACGGGUAGCCGGCCUGAGAGGGUGACCGGCCACCUUGGGACUGAGAUACGGCCCAGACUCCUACCGGCGGCAGCAGUGGGGAAUCUUGCCCACUGGGCGGCAGCCUGAUGCAGCACCUCCGCGUGCGGGAUGACGGCCUUCGGGUUGUAAACCGCUUUCGCCUGUGCCGAAGCGUGAGUGACGGUAAUGGGUAAAGAAGCACCGGCUAACUACGUG